rnacentral:rRNA from 1 species
UACGGAGGGUGCAAGCGUUAUCCGGAUUCACUGGGUUUAAAGGGCGCGUAGGCGGUUUAUCAAGUGAGAUGUGAAAUCCCCGGGCUUAACCUGGGAACUGCAUCUUAAACUGAUAGGCUGGAGUACUGUAGAGGAUAGUGGAAUUUCCGGUGUAGCGGUGAAAUGCGUAGAGAUCGGAAGGAACAUCAGUGGCGAAGGCGGCCAUCUGGACCAGCACUGACACUGAGGCACGAAAGCGUGGGGAGCAAACAGG